AUGAUACUCCCUCCAUCUAACAAAGGAUGUCUCAAUUUUGACCAAAUUUGAAUGCAUCUAUAUACUAAGUCAUGUUUAGAUACAUCUAAAUUUUAACAAACUUGAAACAUCUUUUGUUGUACGAAGGGAGUAGUUU
rfam:Brachypodium distachyon strain Bd21 chromosome 3, whole genome shotgun sequence.